CAAGUCGAGCGAGUGGAGUUCUUCGGAACAAAGCUAGCGGCGGACGGCUGAGUAACACGUGGGCAACCUGCCUCAUAGAGGGGAAUAGCCUCCCGAAAGGGAGAUUAAUACCGCAUAAGAUUGUAGCUUCGCAUGAAGUAGCAAUUAAAGGAGCAAUCCGCUAUGAGAUGGGCCCGCGGCGCAUUAGCUAGUUGGUGAGGUAACGGCUCACCAAGGCGACGAUGCGUAGCCGACCUGAGAGGGUGAUCGGCCACAUUGGGACUGAGACACGGCCCAGACUCCUACGGGAGGCAGCAGUGGGGAAUAUUGCACAAUGGGGGAAACCCUGAUGCAGCAACGCCGCGUGAGUGAUGACGGCCUUCGGGUUGUAAAGCUCUGUCUUCAGGGACGAUAAUGACGGUACCUGAGGAGGAAGCCACGGCUAACUACGUGCCAGCAGCCGCGGUAAUACGUAGGUGGCGAGCGUUGUCCGGAUUUACUGGGCGUAAAGGGAGCGUAGGCGGACUUUUAAGUGAGAUGUGAAAUACCCGGGCUCAACUUGGGUGCUGCAUUUCAAACUGGAAGUCUAGAGUGCAGGAGAGGAGAAUGGAAUUCCUAGUGUAGCGGUGAAAUGCGUAGAGAUUAGGAAGAACACCAGUGGCGAAGGCGAUUCUCUGGACUGUAACUGACGCUGAGGCUCGAAAGCGUGGGGA
rnacentral:rRNA from 1 species